rnacentral:rRNA from 1 species
GGCGGACGGGUGAGUAAUGCAUAGGAAUCUGCCCGAUAGUGGGGGAUAACCUGGGGAAACCCAGGCUAAUACCGCAUACGUCCUACGGGAGAAAGGGGGCUUCGGCUCCCGCUAUUGGAUGAGCCUAUGUCGGAUUAGCUAGUUGGUGAGGUAACGGCUCACCAAGGCCACGAUCCGUAGCUGGUCUGAGAGGAUGAUCAGCCACAUCGGGACUGAGACACGGCCCGAACUCCUACGGGAGGCAGCAGUGGGGAAUAUUGGACAAUGGGGGCAACCCUGAUCCAGCCAUGCCGCGUGUGUGAAGAAGGCCCUCGGGUUGUAAAGCACUUUCAGCGAGGAAGAACGCCUAGCGGUUAAUACCCGCUAGGAAAGACAUCACUCGCAGAAGAAGCACCGGCUAACUCCGUGCCAGCAGCCGCGGUAAUACGGAGGGUGCAAGCGUUAAUCGGAAUUACUGGGCGUAAAGCGCGCGUAGGUGGCUUGAUAAGCCGGUUGUGAAAGCCCCGGGCUCAACCUGGGAACGGCAUCCGGAACUGUCAAGCUAGAGUGCAGGAGAGGAAGGUAGAAUUCCGCGGUGUAGCGGUGAAAUGCGUAGAGAUCGGGAGGAAUACCAGUGGCGAAAGGCGGCCUUCUGGACUGACACUGACACUGAGGUGCGAAAGCGUGGGUAGCAAACA